rnacentral:rRNA from 1 species
GUAGUCCACGCUGUAAACGGUGGGUACUAGGUGUGGGGUCCAUUCCACGGGUUCCGUGCCGUAGCUAACGCUUUAAGUACCCCGCCUGGGGAGUACGGCCGCAAGGCUAAAACUCAAAGGAAUUGACGGGGCCCCGCACAAGCGGCGGAGCAUGCGGAUUAAUUCGAUGCAACGCGUAGAACCUUACCUGGGUUUGACAUGGAUCGGGAGCGCUCAGAGAUGGGUGUGCCUCUUUUGGGGUCGGUUCACAGGUGGUGCAUGGCUGUCGUCAGCUCGUGUCGUGAGAUGUUGGGUUAAGUCCCGCAACGAGCGCAACCCUUGUUCACUGUUGCCAGCACGUUAUGGUGGGGACUCAGUGGAGACCGCCGGGGUCAACUCGGAGGAAGGUGGGGAUGACGUCAAGUCAUCAUGCCCCUUAUGUCCAGGGCUUCACGCAUGCUACAAUGGCUGGUACAGAGAGUGGCGAGCCUGUGAGGGUGAGCGAAUCUCGGAAAGCCGGUCUCAGUUCGGAUUGGGGUCUGCAACUCGACCUCAUGAAGUCGGAGUCGCUAGUAAUCGCAGAUCAGCAACGCUGCGGUGAAUACGUUCC